AUUGAACGCUGGCGGCAGGCCUAACACAUGCAAGUCGAGCGGAUGAAGGGAGCUUGCUCCUGGAUUCAGCGGCGGACGGGUGAGUAAUGCUUAGGAAUCUGCCUGGUAGUGGGGGAUAACGUCCGGAAACGGGCGCUAAUACCGCAUACGUCCUGAGGGAGAAAGUGGGGGAUCUUCGGACCUCACGCUAUCAGAUGAGCCUAGGUCGGAUUAGCUAGUUGGUGGGGUAAAGGCCUACCAAGGCGACGAUCCGUAACUGGUCUGAGAGGAUGAUCAGUCACACUGGAACUGAGACACGGUCCAGACUCCUACGGGAGGCAGCAGUGGGGAAUAUUGGACAAUGGGCGAAAGCCUGGUCCAGCCAUGCCGCGUGUGUGAAGAAGGUCUUCGGAUUGUAAAGCACUUUAAGUUGGGAGGAAGGGCAGUAAGUUAAUACCUUGCUGUUCUGACGUUACCAACAGAAUAAGCACCGGCUAACUUCGUG
rnacentral:rRNA from 1 species